GACCCUGUCUGAGGAGGGGGCUGCUACCCCAGCUGCCAAAGGCUGAGAGCCCAGGGAAGCACAUCCCAGCCUUCUUCCAGGGACUGGAGGUGAGGGGAGGGUGACACCGGAGCCUCCCCAGACCCUGUACUCAGCACCAUGGAGAUAUGCUGUCCUGGCCUCAAGGGCAUAUAACGUAACCAGGAGCCUGAUAAAGGCAGGAAGCAGAGCCACCAAUGCAGGAGUACAAGCCAGCCCAGCUUUGAGAGAUGGAGAGCAAGAAACCGAUAUCCAGGGGAAGCCAGAGCUAUGCCUUGCUGGACUGUAAUGCACUGAGUAUUUUGCAGGCCCUGUGGAUCAAUAGCAAUGCAUAAUUGAGAGAUGAAACACUGCCUGGUUACACAGCCGUGAGACUGAGAGAUGCGGUGGGCCCUAGCCAGCCCCAGAGUCCUUCUGAGGCUUGCUGCCUGGUUUCAAGGCAUCUCCCUCAAUCCCUACCCUCUCCAUACUCAGGUAGAACAGCCUCCAUUUAGUGGAAGUGAAGCUCAUGCCAGAUACCGGUAGUGUGGGAUGGUGGUUAAGAGUGCAGGCUCUGGAGUCAGACUGUAUCAGCUAGCCAUUGCCACAAUCAUGCUGUGUAACAACAACAACAACAAAAUGUUUUUGAUAAAACCUC
ensembl:lncRNA